rnacentral:rRNA from 1 species
CGUGAGCAACCUGCCCCAGGCUUUGGGAUAACCCCGGGAAACCGGGGCUAAUACCGAAUAUUACCUCUGAUCGCAUGGUUGGUGGUGGAAAGUUUUUCGGCUUGGGAUGGGCUCGCGGCCUAUCAGCUUGUUGGUGGGGUGAUGGCCUACCAAGGCGACGACGGGUAGCCGGCCUGAGAGGGCGACCGGCCACACUGGGACUGAGACACGGCCCAGACUCCUACGGGAGGCAGCAGUGGGGAAUAUUGCACAAUGGGCGGAAGCCUGAUGCAGCGACGCCGCGUGAGGGAUGACGGCCUUCGGGUUGUAAACCUCUUUCAGCAGGGACGAAGCGUAAGUGACGGUACCUGCAGAAGAAGCGCCGGCCAACUACGUGCCAGCAGCCGCGGUAAGACGUAGGGCGCGAGCGUUGUCCGGAUUUAUUGGGCGUAAAGAGCUCGUAGGCGGCUUGUCGCGUCGACCGUGAAAACCUGGGGCUCAACUCCAGGCCUGCGGUCGAUACGGGCAGGCUAGAGUUCGGUAGGGGAGACUGGAAUUCCUGGUGUAGCGGUGAAAUGCGCAGAUAUCAGGAGGAACACC